GGAGGGGGCAAGCGUUGUUCGGAAUUACUGGGCGUAAAGGGCGCGCAGGCGGCUGCUCAAGUCAGGCGUGAAAGGCCUGGGCUCAACCCGGGAAUUGCGCUUGAGACUGGGCUGGCUUGAGUGCGGGAGAGGAUGGUGGAAUUCCCAGUGUAGAGGUGAAAUUCGUAGAUAUUGGGAAGAACACCGGUGGCGAAGGCGGCCAUCUGGACCGCAACUGACGCUGAGGCGCGAAAGCGUGGGGAGCAAACAGGAUUAGAUACCCUGGUAGUCCACGCCGUAAACGAUGAGUGCUAGACGUUGGGGGGCCUAGCCUUCCGGUGUCGCAGCUAACGCAUUAAGCACUCCGCCUGGGGAGUACGGCCGCAAGGUUA
rnacentral:rRNA from 1 species